rnacentral:rRNA from 1 species
ACGAACGCUGGCGGCGUGCUUAACACAUGCAAGUCGAACGGUGAAGGGACCGGUUUUUGCUGGUUCUGGAUGAGUGGCGAACGGGUGAGUAACACGUGAGUAACCUGCCCCCUUCUUCUGGAUAACCGCAUGAAAGUGUGGCUAAUACGGGAUAUUCUGCGCCUGCUGCAUGGUGGGUGUGGGAAAGAUAUUGUUUCGGUGGGGGAUGGGCUCGCGGCCUAUCAGCUUGUUGGUGGGGUGAUGGCCUACCAAGGCGGUGACGGGUAGCCGGCCUGAGAGGGUGGACGGUCACACUGGGACUGAGACACGGCCCAGACUCCUACGGGAGGCAGCAGUGGGGAAUAUUGCACAAUGGGCGCAAGCCUGAUGCAGCGACGCCGCGUGAGGGAUGGAGGCCUUCGGGUUGUAAACCUCUUUCGCCAGUGAAGCAGGCCUGUCCCUUUUGUGGGUGGGUUGACGGUAGCUGGAUAAGAAGCGCCGGCUAACUACGUA